GCGUCUUAUCAGGUAGUUGGUGGGGUAAUCGCUCACCAAGCCUAUGACGGGUAGCUGGUCUGAGAGGAUGGUCAGCCAGACUGGGACUGCGACACGGCCCAGACUCCUACGGGAGGCAGCAAUUAGGAAUCUUGCGCAAUGGGCGAAAGCCUGACGCAGCGACGCCGCGUGGUGGAUGAAGGCCUUCGGGUUGUAAACACCUUUUAUAGUGGAACAAGUUCUGAGUGUACACUAUGAAUAAGCACCUUCCAACUACGUGCCAGAAGAAUCGGUGAUGCGUAGGGUGCAAGCGUUAUCCGGAUUUACUGGGCGUAAAGAGAAGCGUAGGCGUCUUAGUAAGUCUUCAGUGCAAUCUUUCAGCUUAACUGGAAAACUGCUGAGGAAACUACUUUGAUUGAGGCAGACAGGGGAAAGGGGAAUUCCUGGUGGAGCGGUGAAAUGCGUUGAUAUCAGGAGGAAUACCAAUGGCGAAGGCACCUUUCUGGGUCUGUUCUGACGCUAAGGCUCGAAAGCGUGGGGAGCAAAACGGAUUAGAUACCCGUGUAGUCCACGCCCUAAACAAUCCCUACUAGAUAUUUGUCUUCGGAGUUGUGUUAUUUAACUUCGGUUGAAUAUUCCGACUCCAGAUGAGUGUCGCAGCUAACGC
rnacentral:rRNA from 1 species